AAGGCCAUCCUGGGGUGAUGUCAAGGCCAUUCUGGGGUGGUGUCAAGGCCAUUCUGGGGUGAUGUCAAAGCCAUUCUGGGGUGAUGUCAAAGCCAUUCUGGGGUGAUGUCAAGGCCAUUCUGGGGUGGUGUCAGAGAGAGGUCAGGAGCACAAUGUUAAAAAGAGGACAUUGUAUGCAGUGGUAAAGAACCUGGAUGCAGCGCAUCUGUCUGGGAGCUUUUGGUGGCAAGUAGAACUUGCAAGGAAACAGAUCAAAUAUUUUGCUAAAAUUUCUGGGCAGAGUGCUGAAGGGGUGGUGUGGCUUCUCACCGUUUUUCAUACAGACGGUUUCUGACUUAGGACUUUUUUUUUUUUUAACCUACGAUAGAUAUUUUUGACUUAAGUCUUUUUGGUGGGAAUUGUGCUUUGAAUUUUGAUCGUUUACCUCAGAUGAGCAAACUGAGGUGCCAAGCAGUAGCAGUGAGCCUCCAGAUGGCCAACGACAAGAGCGAGAACCGAUGCCCCACUGUGUGCUGUGUUCCUAAGCUAGCACGCCCAUGGCUAACAGACUCUGCUAUUGCAGAGGACCUGAGUUCAGUUCUUCAGCAUCAGAAGCUGUUUACAGUUAGCCUCUGAAUCCAGCGAUGACUUCGUCCCUAGGCAACAAGGACCCUCCUGCAUCUGUUGCCAUGGCAACCACCGCUCAUUCCCGGUGCGCACCUCACCCACAUGGGUGGAUACCGGAUGCUUUUGUGACUCAGGGUAUUUUCAUCUUUCAAUGAUCAGGAAGUGUCCAUUAAAACCUGAGGAGCAGCUGUGUGGUAAAGGAGACAGCACUGGGUGAGUCCACAUGGUUUUACAAGCCAACGAGCUGACUUUUCCUGCUAGACAAAGCAAUGAGUCGGAUGACAAGAGGAGCUUUCCUAAUAAUAAAUUUAAUUUUUCUUCUCGCUGA